GGGAUAGCUGCCCGAAAGGGCAGGUAAUACCUGAUGAGACCACGGCGGGGCAUCCCGCAGUGCUCAAAGGAGCAAUCCGCAGGGGGAGCGGGCGAUAUCGUAUCAGCUAGUUGGUAGGGUAACGGCCUACCAAGGCGACGACGCGUAGCCGGACUGAGAGGUUGGCCGGCCACAUUGGGACUGAGACACUGCCCAGACUCCUACGGGGGGCUGCAGUAACGAAUCUUCCGCAAUGCACGAAAGUGUGACGGAGCGACGCCGCGUGUGGGACGAAGUCCUUCGGGAUGUAAACCACUGUCAGGGGUUACCAAGUUCUGAGGAGCCCCAGAGGAAGGCACGGCUAACUCUGUGCCAGCAGCCGCGGUAAGACAGAGGUGCCGAGCGUUAGGCGGAAUCACUGGGCUUAAAGCGUGUGUAGGCGGACUUCUAAGUACCUUGUGAAAUCCCACGGCUCAACCGUGGAACUGCUCGGUAUACUGGUCGUCUUGAGCCACCUAGGGGCGAGCGGAACAAGCGGUGGAGCGGUGAAAUGCGUAGAUAUCGCUUGGAACGCCAACGGUGAAAACAGCUCGCUGGGGGUGUGCUGACGCUGAGACACG
rnacentral:rRNA from 1 species